GGGGGGGCGAGCGUUGUUCGGAUUUACUGGGCGUAAAGGGCUCGUAGGCGGCCACCUAAGUCGGUUGUGAAAUCCCUCGGCUCAACCGGGGAACUGCGACCGAUACUGGAUGGCUUGAAGCCGGGAGAGGGAUGCGGAAUUCCAGGUGUAGCGGUGAAAUGCGUAGAUAUCUGGAGGAACACCCGUGGCGAAGGCGGCAUCCUGGACCGGUCUUGACGCUGAGGAGCGAAAGCUAGGGUAGCAAACGGGAUUAGAUACCCCGGGUAGUCCUAGCCCUAAACGAUGAAUGCUUGGUGUGGCGGGUAUCGAUCCCCUGCCAUGCCGUAGCUAACGCGUUAAGCAUUCCGCCUGGGGAGUACGGUCGCAAGGCUG
rnacentral:rRNA from 1 species